GACGAACGCUGGCGGCGUGCUUAACACAUGCAAGUCGAGCGGUAAGGCCCUCUCGGGGGUACACGAGCGGCGAACGGGUGAGUAACACGUGGGUGACCUGCCCUCAGCUCUGGGAUAAGCCUGGGAAACCGGGUCUAAUACUGGAUAUGACUCCAUGACGCAUGUUGUGGGGUGGAAAGCCUUGUGCGGCUGAGGAUGGGCCCGCGGCCUAUCAGCUUGUUGGUGGGGUGAUGGCCUACCAAGGCGACGACGGGUAGCCGGCCUGAGAGGGCGACCGGCCACACUGGGACUGAGACACGGCCCAGACUCCUACGGGAGGCAGCAGUGGGGAAUCUUGCGCAAUGGGCGAAAGCCUGACGCAGCGACGCCGCGUGAGGGAUGACGGCCU
rnacentral:rRNA from 1 species